GGGCGUAAAGCGCGCGUAGCGGUUUUUAAGUCUGAUGUGAAAGCCCACGGCUCAACCGUGGAGGGUCAUUGGAAACUGGAAAACUUGAGUGCAGAAGAGGAAAGUGGAAUUCCAUGUGUAGCGGUGAAAUGCGCAGAGAUAUGGAGGAACACCAGUGGCGAAGGCGACUUUCUGGUCUGUAACUGACGCUGAUGUGCGAAAGCGUGGGGAUCAAACAGGAUUAGAUACCCUGGUAGUCCACGCCGUAAACGAUGAGUGCUAAGUGUUAGGGGGUUUCCGCCCCUUAGUGCUGCAGCUAACGCAUUAAGCACUCCGACUGGGGAGUACGACCGCAAGGUAGAAACUCAAAGGAAUUGACGGGGACCCGCACAAUGCGGUGGAGCAUGUGGUUUAAUUCGAAGCAACGCGAAGAACCUUACCAAAUCUUGACAUCCUCUGACCCCUCUAGAGAUAGAGUUUUCCCCUUCGGGGGACAGAGUAACAGGUGGUGCAUGGUUGUCGUCAGCUCGUGUCGUGAGAUGUUGGGUUAAGUCCCGCAACGAGCGCAACCCUUAAGCUUAGUUGCCAUCAUUAAGUUGGGCACUCUAAGUUGACUGCCGGUGACAAACCGGAGGAAGGUGGGGAUGACGUCAAAUCAUCGUGCCCCUUAUGAUUUGGGCUACACACGUGCUACAAUGGACAAUACAAAGGGCAGCGAAACCGCGAGGUCAAGCAAAUCCCAUAAAGUUGUUCUCAGUUCGGAUUGUAGUCUGCAACUCGACUAUAUGAAGCUGGAAUCGCUAGUAAUCGUAGAUCAGCAUGCUACG
rnacentral:rRNA from 1 species